ACGGAAGACGGGGAUUAUCAGGUCAAGCUACGCAACCUGAUACGGUUCCUUAAUCAUGGUGACAAAGUCAAGAUUACGCUGCGUUUUCGCGGUCGUGAAAUGGCCCAUCAGGACAUUGGUAUGAAAAUCAUGGAGCGCCUCAUGCAAGAUACAGCAGAACAUGCUGUGGUUGAGCAACAGGCUAAACGUGAAGGCCGCCAAUUAGUUAUGGUCUUGUCGCCUAAGAAAAAAGGCUAAUUACUGGAUAUUUCUCGUAAGCUCUGUAACUCCAUAGUCAAAAGGCAGGUUGCAGGGUUUUAACAGUCUGA
rnacentral:misc_RNA from 1 species